AUGCACGCUGGCGGCGUGCCUAAUACAUGCAAGUCGAGCGAACAGACGAGGAGCUUGCUCCUCUGACGUUAGCGGCGGACGGGUGAGUAACACGUGGAUAACCUACCUAUAAGACUGGGAUAACUUCGGGAAACCGGAGCUAAUACCGGAUAAUAUAUUGAACCGCAUGGUUCAAUAGUGAAAGACGGUUUUGCUGUCACUUAUAGAUGGAUCCGCGCCGCAUUAGCUAGUUGGUAAGGUAACGGCUUACCAAGGCAACGAUGCGUAGCCGACCUGAGAGGGUGAUCGGCCACACUGGAACUGAGACACGGUCCAGACUCCUACGGGAGGCAGCAGUAGGGAAUCUUCCGCAAUGGGCGAAAGCCUGACGGAGCAACGCCGCGUGAGUGAUGAAGGUCUUCGGAUCGUAAAACUCUGUUAUUAGGGAAGAACAAAUGCGUAAGUAACUAUGCACGUCUUGACGGUACCUAAUCAGAAAGCCACGGCUAACUACGUG
rnacentral:rRNA from 1 species